rnacentral:lncRNA from 1 species
GGAGAAUGGUGCUUUGGACCUGUCAGCACAGCAUGAGUGUGGUUGCCAGGCUUCAAGGAUCAGCCAGAACUGAACCAGAUAACAGAAUUACUGGAUUAACCCUGAGAUGUGCUGGCAGUUUUCUGACAUCAUAAAAAAUGUUGUGUGAGCUGAAAAGACAAAGGAUUUUGUAAAGGGUUAAGAAAGGCUCUGUACAGCUCCAGGGCUCCUCCUAC